GUCCGUCUCUCGGCCUCGCUGUUGCUCUCCUCAGUGGCAGCUGUGCUUCAGGUUCAGCUCCUGGUGUUUCUGGCUUUUGCCUCCUUGGAUCCGAGCUUGGAGUGACAAAAGAACGGCACACAGACGCUGAUCUGAGCUUCUGGUCUGACGCCACGUCGACAGGACGGCACCAGUGAUCCUUCCAAAGCUGCAACAUCACGGUCGUCAUUUUGGAGCCACUUUGCACUUGGCUGCAGACAAAUCCUCCCGCUGAUUUAUGUGUUGUGGCCUGUAGCAACACCAACAUUACUGUGACGGCGGUCCGAGCAGAGAGUGUGUGGAGGUGCAGAUGGUUCGAUCGGUCGCAGUCAGCGAUCAUCCUUCUGACAGUCGAAGUCGCCAUCUUGGUCUUGUAGGAGGCAGACGUGACCAUAUUUAGACGAGAGGGACCUGACUGAUGAUCUGGGGACACGCCCACUUCUACAGACAACCUGACGGCCCUCGGUCCUGGCUAACGCUAAUAUUAGCUUGCUAGCUUGAUCAUGGUUCCUGCUCAGUGUGAUAUUACACUAUUUGGGCUUCUUAUAAUAAAUGAACAGUCAAUUGUUUUCGUUAGUAUUCUGCAGAAGGAGGCUGAACAAGACAUCAACAUGAUGAUCUGGUGGCAAUUCUUAAAUUCUGGUCCUGUGAUUUUAUUUCCUCUCUCAGAACUGUAAUUAACACAAAUGUAAACAUUUUGUGAGCUUUUCUUAUUGAAAAUUAAUUGUAUGUUCAUAAUAUAACACUGACUGAUUGAAAGGCAGUUUAAUGUCCUGUUAAUCAAAUAUCUUUGUUAAUUUUAUCUCUGUUUUACAACCAUGUUUACUGGGACUU